GAUGAACGCUGGCGGCGUGCUUAACACAUGCAAGUCGAACGGAAAGGCUCCUGCUUGCAGGGGUACUCGAGUGGCGAACGGGUGAGUAACACGUGGGUGAUCUGCCCUGCACUUCGGGAUAAGCCUGGGAAACUGGGUCUAAUACCGGAUAGGACGAUGGUUUGGAUGCCAUUGUGGAAAGUUUUUUCGGUGUGGGAUGAGCUCGCGGCCUAUCAGCUUGUUGGUGGGGUAAUGGCCUACCAAGGCGUCGACGGGUAGCCGGCCUGAGAGGGUGUACGGCCACAUUGGGACUGAGAUACGGCCCAGACUCCUACGGGAGGCAGCAGUGGGGAAUAUUGCACAAUGGGCGCAAGCCUGAUGCAGCGACGCCGCGUGGGGGAUGACGGCCUUCGGGUUGUAAACUCCUUUCGCUAGGGACGAAGCGCAAGUGACGGUACCUGGAGAAGAAGCACCGGCUAACCACGUG
rnacentral:rRNA from 1 species